CAAUCUCUCUCCAAAAAUCAUGCGGGUUCCGUCCUCCCCACCCACAUUUCCCGCUUUCUCCUCCCCAACCGCCCCAGGUCACCCACUAUAAAUCCUCCCCUACCCAGCAUCAUCAAGGCCUCGCUGUUUCCUAUUUUGCAUCGGUUACCAAGGGUUUCUUUAUUUCUUUGGAUCUCGUUCCACACAUCGCGGCUCUCUAUGCCAUACAUACACAAAUCAACCUUCUCUGUUCUCUUAUGGUUUCUCCCCCACUGCAAUUGAAGAAGAAUUUGUGAACCACAUCAUAACAGAGCAUAUUUGAGUUUCAGGGGAAGAGAUUUCAGUGUACCACAAUUAGACUGGUGAGUACAAACUGUCUUCUAAACGGUGGAAUUCAUCUUCUUCUCUAAUGGCUAAUCAGGUUGAUUUCUUUUACUAAUUUUGAUUGGGGUUUUAUUGUGUUAGUGAUAUAUUGACUUUUUUCUGAUAUGGGGAUUGGAUAUAAUGGAAUAGGUGGGUUCCUAUUAAGGUAUAAUUAUGUGGUGUGGAGACUUGUCUUAAAUAGGUUGCCAACUGCUGUGAAUUUGGUCUAAAGAAACAUUAAUAUUCCAGACAUAAGGUGCAAGGUAUGUAAUGAAGAAGACGAGUCGGCAUCACAUCUGUUUGUGGCAUGCAAUUUUGCUCAUAAGGUUUGGGAUUUUGUAGUGGGUAGGUGCCCGCUUGGACCCCUUUAUAUCCUUGAACUAAAAGAUUUGGUGGCUGUCCAGAAUUCAUAUUGUGGCUUGGCGAAGUGGAAGAAACUCAUCUUGUCGAUUUUUCAGGUGACUAUUUGGGCGUUGAGGAAAAAUCGGAACAAGGAAGUUUUUAACAAUAAGCUGGCGAAUAUCGGUAGAAUUAAGGAGGAGAUCGAGAUUUAUAGUUAUCUUUGGAUAAAGCAUAGGGCAAAGUGCGGGUCGCUUUCGUGGAUAGAUUGGUGUAAUUUCGAUUUAAUAGCAAUGGGUGUAUAACUCUGUUUCGAUCUGAUAUAUUUGGUGGCUAUAAUCAUGCCGGCUAAACGUUUUAUUGGCCCGCUAUUCGCUUUCGUGGAUAGAUUGGUGUAAUUUCGAUUUAAUAGCAAUGGGUGUAUAACUCUGUUUCGAUCUGAUAUAUUUGGUGGCUAUAAUCAUGCCGGCUAAACCUUUUAUUGGCCCGCUAUUAGCAUUUUAAUAAAGUCUUUGUUGGCCGUUCAAAAAACGAGUUUUACAUUAUACUAUAAAUUUUUAAUUAUUUAUACAUUUUGAGGUUGACAGUAGUCUACCUCAUUUAUUAAUAAUAGAAAUAAGAUAAAGAAUAUACAUGUAUUGAAAGAACAAAUAUAAAUUCUGAUGAUGAAUUUACUGAAUCACUCCCUAAAAACAUAUAUUACAUCUGAUGUUUUCAUUUUUAUUAUUCUCUUUUUUUUUCAUUUCUUUAUGUGCUACAGAUGCUAUGCUGGAAAACCACAUACAAAAGGGCAUUCAUGUGAAUUUUGGGUCUUCUUUGGUGGGAUGCAUCUAUUGGAAAAACAAUUACUACUUUUAUCAGAUUCCUUUACGGUGAUUAAGUUACAAUUAUGUCGAGCACCAAUGGUCAAGUGAUUCGAUGCAAAGCCGCGUGGCAUGGGAAGCCGAAAAGCCGCUGGUGAUCGAAGAAGUGGAAGUGGCGCCACCACAGCAAAAUGGAAGUCCGAAUUAAGAUCCUCUUCACUUCCCUUUGCCACACUAAUGUUUACUUCUGGGAAGCCAAAGGGCAAAAUCCUUCCAAGAAUUUUAGGACAUGAAGCUAGAGGGGUUGUGGAGAGUGUUGGGGAAGGAGUAAAUGAUCUACAGCCAGGGGAUCAUGUUCUUCCCGUUUUCACCGGAGAGUUCAAAGAGUGUGCUCACUGUAAGUCCGAAAGGAGCAAUAUGUGUGUGUGCGCGUGCGCGUGUGUAUAAUGAAUAAAAUAGUGAUACCAGCCAAAACGCUAUAGAUUGCUUUUUGUAUGGAAGGUAAAAAAUAUCCUUGACUGGGGUUCUGACUAGACAUCAUAGUUUAUAUGAAUACUCAUAUACUACUUUAAUAGUAAGUAUUGGCUUUUGAAUUGAUAGUCUAUUGUAUUGGUUUAGAGUGAGUAUGAGAAGGGGAAAACUCCAUAUGAAAGGGUAAGCAUGAUUUGUGCUUAUUUACAAGUGAAAUAGAUGCUUUAAAGAUGUUAUCUUUUUCUUUGGGUUCCUUUAAUAAAAAUAUCCUCACAAGUUAGUUGCCAGUGAUGUUUUUUCUCGACCUACACACAAUUCAUAUUUCCAUAUUCAAUUUUCAAAUGGUUUGAAUUGGUUUCAAAGAGACGAUACCACAUCCGUGAUUAAACCCAGAGAGUGGUAUCAUAUAACAUUUAUUUUUAUGUUUUUUAAAUUUGUUUGUUGUGUUGAUACUUUUGUAGCACAGUCAAGCAUAUAUCGAAUGAGAGAGUUACAUUUGGAAGUUUACGUGAAUCUCAAUAAAAUGGAAUAUAAGGUACCAUAUAUAGUUUUAGACUUGGUUGGAAUUCAUUUUGUUAAUCAAGGAGCACUUUUAUAUUUAUCUAUCAACAUAUUCCAA